rnacentral:lncRNA from 1 species
AUCUGCUACUUUAUAAUAAAUAAUUAAUAUAACAAAAGGCUAUCUUAAUUUAAAUGUCGUUGCUUAGAAAGAAGCUUCAUCCAAUGCUUCAUGCCAUUCUAAAGAAGCUUCAUCCAAUGCUUCAUGCCAUUCUUUAUCAUCUCCUAAUAAACCAAGUGCAUUAUAUAUAAAUUGAAAUAUGGGAUGUAUAAUACUAUUUAUAAUUUUGAUUUUAUCAUAAUUUAUAUCUCCUUUCACCAUAUUUAAGAGGAUAAUAUAAUUCACUUGAACUAGGGUGAA